AUUGAACGCUGGCGGCAUGCCUUACACAUGCAAGUCGAACGGUAACAGGUCUUCGGAUGCUGACGAGUGGCGAACGGGUGAGUAAUACAUCGGAACGUGCCUAGUAGUGGGGGAUAACUACUCGAAAGAGUGGCUAAUACCGCAUGAGAUCUACGGAUGAAAGCAGGGGAUCGCAAGACCUUGUGCUACUAGAGCGGCCGAUGGCAGAUUAGGUAGUUGGUGGGAUAAAAGCUUACCAAGCCGACGAUCUGUAGCUGGUCUGAGAGGACGAUCAGCCACACUGGGACUGAGACACGCCCCAGACUCCGACGGGAGGCAGCAGUGGGGAAUUUUGGACAAUGGGCGUAAGCCUGAUCCAGCAAUGCCGCGUGCAGGAUGAAGGCCUUCGGGUUGUAAACUGCUUUUGUACGGAACGAAAAGCCCCGGGUUAAUACCCUGGGGUCAUGACGGUACCGUAAGAAUAAGCACCGGCUAACUACGUGCCAGCCGCCGCCGAA
rnacentral:rRNA from 1 species